rnacentral:rRNA from 1 species
UACGGAGGGUGCAAGCGUUAUCCGGAUUCACUGGGUUUAAAGGGUGCGUAGGAGGGCAGGUAAGUCCGUGGUGAAAUCUCUGAGCUUAACUCAGAAACUGCCAUUGAUACUAUCUGUCUUGAAUAUCCUGGAGGUGAGCGGAAUAUGUCAUGUAGCGGUGAAAUGCUUAGAUAUGACAUAGAACACCAAUUGCGAAGGCAGCUCACUACGGGAUUAUUGACACUGAGGCACGAAAGCGUGGGGAUCAAACAG